UCAUUUUAAGCUAUUAUACAAUCACCUCUGUGUAGACUCAGCAAGCACAUGUAAAUCAGGACAAAAAUAUUUUUGAAACCAAAUUAACGCAUGUUUUCAAUGUUCGAUUUUUAAACUAUAGUUUGAUAUUUUUCUGGUUCCGAGAUGGCAAAACCCCUUACUGAAAGGACAGACAAGGUUCUUUUGGAGGCAAGGGGAAGGACUUGUGCAUAAACGACCCGUGCCCCUGGCAGCUGGUGGGGCACAGUGGCAGGGGGAGCACGGCGACAGCAAUGGGAGGACAGUGGCGGUGAGCGGGGAGCUCCUGCAGCUGCCACCGGCAGCAUCGGCGGCAGCCCGUGGGGAUCGCUGACCGCCCACAGACGCCACUGGCAGUGCUGGCGGCAAGGUGUUAUUUCUCACAACAGCGCCUCGGUUGAGAGAGGAGCCUGCAACAGACCUGGGUACUGAACCAAGGAGUCUGGGCCCCCUGUUCUCACCCCCGGCCCCCACACCCUUCCCAGAGGUGGAGAGCACCCAGAGGCCCCCGCUCUUCAUCUGUCCAUCCAUGCAUGCUCAGAUGCCUUCUUCAGAUGCGGGUCAGGAGUGACGGGGCAGGGCUGGGGGGGAGCAGGGGCCGCGGGUUGGGCGUGGGGGGCA